rnacentral:rRNA from 1 species
AUUGAACGCUGGCGGCAUGCCUUACACAUGCAAGUCGAACGGUAACAGGUCUUCGGAUGCUGACGAGUGGCGAACGGGUGAGUAAUACAUCGGAACGUGCCUAGUAGUGGGGGAUAACUACUCGAAAGAGUGGCUAAUACCGCAUGAGAUCUACGGAUGAAAGCAGGGGAUCGCAAGACCUUGUGCUACUAGAGCGGCCGAUGGCAGAUUAGGGAGUUGGUGGGAUAAAAGCUUACCAAGCCGACGAUCUGUAGCUGGUCUGAGAGGACGAUCGGCCAAACGGGGGCUGAGACACGGCCCAGACUCCUACGGGAGGCAGCAGUGGGGAAGUUUGGACAAUGGGCGAAAGCCUGAUCCAGCAAUGCCGCGUGCAGGAUGAAGGCCUUCGGGUUGUAAACUGCUUUUGUACGGAACGAAAAGCCCCGGGUUAAUACCCUGGGUUCAUGACGGUACCGUAAGAAUAAGCACCGGCUAACUACGUGCCAGCCGCCGCCGUAA